rnacentral:rRNA from 1 species
UACGUAGGGUGCGAGCGUUAAUCGGAAUUACUGGGCGUAAAGCGUGCGUAGGCGGUUCCUCAAGUCCGUUGUGAAGCCCCGGGCUCAACCUGGGAAUGGCAGUGGAAACUAGGGGACUGGAAUCUGGCAGAGGGGGGUGGAAUGCCGCGUGUAGCAGUGAAAUGCGUAGAGAUGCGGCGGAACACCGAUGGCGAAGGCAGCCCCUGGGCUGAGAUUGACGCUCAGGCACGAAAGCGUGGGGAGCAAACAGGG